rnacentral:lncRNA from 1 species
GUUUGAUACCCCCUCUAUUCUUGGACAUAAUUAAAAUGAUUAACGCAGCCACACCUGCUUUCUGUUGACUAUGAUCCAAUUUUAGAUUGUACCACCUAGUAUUUUUUCCUGACAUUAUAAUUUUGCCAUAAUUUUGUAGUUUUUUCAGUACUCAUUGAUAAUGGCUAAUUCCAAACAGUUCCUCUAGUCUAUCAUUUAACUCUUCUUAAAAAUCCCAUGUGCAAUAGUUACAAUAAAAAUUACUUCUUGAAUUGCUGUUUUCCAGAGAGCUGAAAAAUGUGUCUCUACUCUCUGCUUGGGCUGACCUGCUGGCAUUCACAUUGAAUGCCUAAUACAUGCAGUGUGUGAGAGCUGGAGAGAUGACAGAUGACAUCAACUGUAGGAGAUGAGGAUCCAAAGCGCAGAAAAUUUUCUAAAGCUGUAACAGAGCACCGAGUGGAUUUGGUUUCAGCUAGAAACCCCAUAGAGCAAACUGUCCUCUACUGCCCUGAUAUGUCUUCGUGGUCACAUACUGCUCAUGUUGGAGGAUGGCAGUGCAAGCCAAGUGUAAAAGCAGAACUGUUUAAUGUCAUUGGCUCAAGUUUCUGCUCAUAUUCAUCAUCUUAGGUGACACACUGUCACAUGAGCCCUUAUACCAGACCUGGAGCUGAUCUGCAAUUUGCUGGCUUUGCGUGGAAGCAGAAUUAAAGCCAGAUGUUUCCACGUGCCUGAGCAUACACUCAUGGCACAGACAGAUACACCAGACGUCUGAUAUUCCUGUGGAUUAACCUAGUAGACUCCCCUUAAUAUUAAAGCCUUUAUACUGAAGACGAGUUUCAGUUGAGAUGUGUAUUGUGUUUCUCUCAAUUUAUUCUGUAUAGUGAGCUAAAUAAUUCAAUGUAUAAUGUGCCUUGAAAUUGUCCACUUUCAGUUCUUUAUGCUAUGAAUGUUUCUGUACUUAACACUGUCAGCAAAUCUUUCUGAGUUAACUGUUGCUGGGCAGCCAAGGGCGAUGAUAGCACAUUUAUCAGUAAUUAGAAGUGUUUGUAUCUAUCUUCAGGUAGAAAAGAAUAAAUAUCUGCUUAAGAAAUAUUGUGGGAAGCA